AGGAGGAGGCUUCCUGUGUGCUUCUCAAACGUGCCUCUGAGCUGAGAUGGUCAGACCUGAGUCACAAUCCUGCCCUGCCUUCUGCAGACCAGUCAGAGGGUCCAGAGAGGACAGUGGUGGCCCUGUGGCCCAGAGACACCUAUCCAGGUGAGUCCUGCCAGCACCCGUCUCUUGUUACAUGGACUUAGAUGCUCAAGUGUCUUGCCACAGGGACUCUGAUAAGCUGGAGUCAGUCAUGCCCCAGUGAACACAUCCAGCCAUGGAAGAGGAGAUAUAUCUGGAGGACAGACACAAUCUUAUAAUUUACUCUAAGCCCCACUGUGCGCUCACAGUUGCAUGGGUACCAGCACUGUGGCUUGGCACAGGUGUCGGCCAUCUAACUGGAACCUAGGAGGAAGGUGCCAGGCCUGGGACAAGACAGGCAGGGACGAUGGGGAUAAGACACACCCGAGAAAGAGACUCUCCACGGAGUGUGAGGUGGUGACUCCCUCAGACCCCAACCUGUGAGUGUGCAAUGCUCUGAGGCCUCCAGGUACCCAGUGCAACUCAAAAUGCAAGUCCAGUCUCUCUCGGGAAUGUGAGGCUCAGAGUUGACUUGUUUCUUGAACUUUCUAAGAGUGAGGAGCUGCCUAGCCUCAGGGCCUGCUGGGCUGCUGUCUCACAGGCCUUCCCUUGCCACAGAAGCUUCUGUUUUCCUCGGACUCCUGUACUCUGACACCCCACCGAGGACAGAGCUGUUUCCAUGCUCCUGUACCCCACUGAGUCAGGAUGGCGACAAGUCCAUGACAGAGUUACAUUAAAUGAGUGAAAAAAAUAGAUGACAUCAUCCUAUGAGCCGCCGGAGACCUCUCUCCAGGGAUUCUCUCUACACAGAGACCAGAGGGCUGAAUACUGGGAAUCAAGGUAACCUGAGACACACAGGCCCUGUGACCACAGGGACUAUGACCUUCACAGGUUGGUACACAGCUGGCUCUAGGUUUCCCUGUGUCCUGAGGGAAGGUGGAAACCAGUUUUCAGGGAACUAGCUCUACAGUCACCGAUGGACACACAGUAGCUUGUUACGGACCAGCAGGUCUCCCUGGGGAUCUUGUACAUUCGAGGAUACAGCCUCUGUGGGAGAGACAACUGUCAUAUGGACCUUAUCACUCUGAGGCAGUCCCUGGGGUAGUCAGGGGUCACUGCUGGUGGGAGAACCUGUGGCAUCAGGGCUGAAGCCUCUGGUCAUAUGCUUUGUGUGACUCCAGACCCUUACUCUGUCCUUCUCUAUCCCAUCCUGGACCCCAGGAGGCUGACAGUAUGGACCAAACCAUCAAGGCUCCCAACUCUGGCUUUUGGAGGACUAUAUCAAUGAUAGAGACAUUUCCCAAGGCUUCUCUCUGCCAAGCUGCAAAAUGAAGAAGCUGCCGGGCUCUUGCCUAAGAGUCUCAGCUCUUGCCAGUCAGUCUGUCCUUCCAGCUCCCUUUCGUGAGCUCAGCAUCGCAGAGCCGGAAGGAUGUUGCUCACCCGUAAUUUAUUUAUGCAAGCGGCCUUUCUUGAGUUUCGCUGUGUGCAAUCUCUGCCGUCUACGGCUACCCUAAGGGGCCCCUCGUUUACCACGUAGAGUGUGAGCUUCCAGUACUUAGAAUCGGAGGGCAGAAAGGCAAAAGGGGAGAAGAUAUGGAGGUGGGUUGGAGGCAGGGCGCUGGUCGUAUUAUUUCAGGUUCUAGGCCUGGCUGGAGCAGCCUGACAUGGCCUCAGCUCCAUGGGAACCAUGAGCUGUUCUAUUUCAUCAGAUGACUCAUGAUCCAAAUCCUUUCUUGUAGGGGGAAGAAAACGACCCACAAUCAGGUGCACGGUGAAUUAUGCUUUCUCUAGGACACACUGGUAUCGAUUCUCUGUGUGUGAGGCUGGGCCUGAGCCCCAGGGUGCUGCCAGAAGCAGCUCUGCGUCUUUUGGCUGAUGAGGAGGAGGGAGCAACAGGGAAAGCAUCCAUUUCUAGCCCUUCUCUGGCUGAGGUUUCCUCCUUUCUGGAGGUGUCCAGAGGUUCACGAGGAACUCUGGAUUGACUUUAGGACCAGGGGUAGCCCAUCCUUUGGGGUCCGGCAUGUGCUGUGGGUACCAAUGGGGAGGCAUAACUCAGUCCCAGGAUCAGGUGGGAGCAAGGGCUUAAGGGCAGUCCAUAGGCAGAGGCAGUGGCUACAUUAAUUAGUUGGAGCUGAAGGAACUUAGGGCCACCUGUCAGAGGAGGCCCUGCCAGCUUCAUCACCAACUGUGGGAUACUUUUAAAGAAAUUAAUUAUGUUAUUUAUUUACAUUCCAGCCAUUGCCCACCUCUCAGUUCCCCCCUCCCACAGUUCUACAUCCGACAUACUCCACCCCCGUUCCCUGGAGGAUUGAGCGCAUGCUCUCCCCCUGAGGCCAGACCAAGCCAACCUCUGCUCCUGGUUGGUGGCUCAGUGUCUGGGCGCUGGGUUAGCUGAGACUGCUGGUCUUGCUAUAGGGUCGCUCUCCCCUUCAGCUUCCUAACUGACUCCUCACAGAAGCAGUGUGGUGAGGUAAUCCCUACAGAGUGUGCUUCAGAUGCUCCACCCCCUCAGGAGGAUGUGGUAGCUUUUUCCAGGGCUGGGCCUCAGAGCUCAGGCUGGUCUCAAAGUCUCUCGCUACACAGCAGAGGAGGACCUUGGCCUCCUGGUCCUCCUGCUUCUACCUUGUGAGUGUUGAUAUUAUUAAUCUGAACAGUCCUACAGGGCUCAGAGAGCUCAUAUCUUUUCUUUUCGUAAAACUGGAGAUCGGGUGUGGUGGGGGUGGGGGUCUCCUGUAACCUAGUCUAGACACAAAUUUACUUCAUGGCAGGAGACGUUUGACCUCCGUUCCUGAUCCUCCACACCUCUGGAGCGCUGAGAUUAUCCAGCCCACGCCGCCAAGCUGGGCUUAAACUGUGCUGAGUAGGGAGUUGUGCACACACUAGGCAAGCCCUGUACCAACUGGGCUAUGUCCCCAGAGGAAGUUCCUACCCUUACUUUCACUUCCUCCAACAGUGGCCCCCUGAAGCGCUAUCCUUACUGCUUGUGCUUCAGUGUUUCACCUACCCAAAAUACAUAGUGUGUCAGGUCUCUCCUGCACUAAGCCCGCCCUCUGAGCUCAGGACUUCUAAAUGAAAAUGCUCACAAGCCACCCCCGGGGUCAAAGAACUGGAGCCAAGUCCACAGGGCUCACCUCUCUAGCCCCUCCCUUCCUCUCCCCUCCUCAUACAAAGCCGCUGAGGUACUUGUCACUCACGGAGGAGGUACUCGGAGCUGUCGUGGUCAUAAUCGUUGUCCUCUGGGAAGUGGUUGAUCCGGAAGCAGUGCCCCUUGUAGAUGCCUGGAGGAAACGAGGGGGAAACACAGGCUGUGAAUGUCCCGUGGGUUCAGACAACCAUUUGUUCCAGACAUGGCAGGUCUGAGCAGGUCACAGGGCAGAGAGAAGAGAGGCUGAGUCUGAAGUCCCCAUUGCUUACUGUCCCAUGAGGAUACAGGCGCACACGGAGGUCUUGCACACUGAGGUGAGCCUUGAUCAGAACUGUAUCGUUUAUGGUUAAGCCUUGACACCUCACUGUCGGAGUGAAUCCCUCCCACCAAUUGCUAGCGUGGACUCAGAUUCCAAUCUCCUCAAUCUGAUUGAAGGUAAAGCCAAGAAACUUCCACGAGGGCACAACUAUCUCCCGCCUGGCUUUCUCCUCUCCAUUUGGAGAGGUCUUCACGGCGUAGAAAAGCAGAAUUUCUGGUUUAUUUCGUAGCUCAAGGACAGUUCUCCCUUCCAGAAUCUUCCAUCCAUUUCCUCCCAAUUAUCUGUCACCCUGCAGCCUGAAAAUGCCCACCACUAAACACAGCAACAGAGAGGGAGUCACAUGGGGGUGGGGGUGUCAUGCCACUAUGUGCCUGGGCCUGCCAAGUCCUCAUGCCUACUCAGCCACAUGACUCUAGCGGCCGAUGGCCAGAGAGCUCUUCCUCCCCAAGCCCCUAACUGGUCAGCGCUGGUUUAUUCCCAGCUGUAGCCAGUUCUUCUCUUGCUGCUGCUGCUGCUGCUGCCAAGCACCCUGCUGGCUUCCAGCAGCCCGGCCUGGCCUCACAGUGGGUGGGGACAGUACUGGAGGCUGGAAAUGUGCCAGGGGCACAUCUGUCUUCCUGUGUGUCCAACUAAGGUCUCCCUGCUGAGGUGAGAGCUUGCCACUCUCCUACCUGGUGACACACGAGCUGCUGACCAGCUGCUCCACUCCAGGCUCUCCCUCCACCUCCCUUUGGCUGAUGCUCAAAGACCUGUGUGCACAACAGCAGCCGUGCUUCCCCAGACCCCAGGUCAGAGGUGCAGGAGGCAGACAGAGCGUCUCAGAGGAGCUCUCAGAUCCCUUAGAACCACGGGAGAUGAUACCACAGAGAGGCACUGAGGUGGUUCUUAGCCCUUGGAAAUGAGUCAGAGAGAUUCGCUACUGCUGGGCCCAGAGCUGCCUGUCUUCUACUUCACGUGUCCCUGAGUGGUUGCGUCAGUGAACAGGAGCUGGUGAAGAAGGACUAACAGAAUGGGCUGGGCCCGGGAUGGCUGAGGGGCACGAGCUAUAGUACACUGCUAGAAGUCAAACGACAGCUUUGGGAGUCAGUUCUCCCUUUCCCUUAUGCGUGCAUAUGUCCUGGGGACCAAACUCCGGUCAUCAGCGUGGGCGGCAAGCACUCUUACCAGCUGAGCCAUUUUGCCAGUUCCUCGGGACCACAGCAGGUGACCUGCUAUUCUGCUGGCUGCUUCCCACAUCCUAGAGUAUGUCUGCUGUAGUAAGAACCAACAACGGGAGAGCUUAAGACAUGCACAGCCUCUGCCCUUUUGCAGCUUUCUAUGGGCAGCUCCUAAAUGGUGAUGAAGAAGGGAACCCUCUACAGGAGCGUCCAAGGCCUCAGAGAAUGCAGGACCGAGGUACGUGGCCAAGGCUGUGGUGCGGAGGUUAGAAAAGCUGUUUUUCAUCCCAACAUCAUAAGGAGGAGGAGGGGAAAGAGAAGAAGAGGAGAAAGAGGAGAAGAAAAGGAGGAAGAAGAAGACAAAAUCUUCAACUCCCUCUUUCUCUCGGACGCCUUCAGGCCAGACUGGUUUGUGUUUGUUUGUUGUGUUUUUGUCUUGACUGGAUACCUUAAAGGAGAGCUGUCUAUGUCUUCUCCAUGAACAGCUUGGAGACCGGAAAGUUUCUUCAGCUAAACAGUGACCCUAAGACCCACACCUGCAGACAACCUCGCACCGCAAUCUCUCCUACUCUGAAAACUGAAGAGCAUUUAAGACAGGGUCUCUGUAGACCAGGUUGAACUCAGACUGCCAAGGUCAUCUGAGGAUGACCCCCUGAUUGUGAUUCUCCUACGUCCACCUCCAGAGUUUUUGGGGUUACAGAUGUGCUCCACAAUGCUCACUUCAUGCACUGCUGAGGACAGAACCCAGGGCUUUGUGUACACAAAGCAAGUGUUCUGCUAUCCCAAUUGCAUGCCCCUUGUCUCUUUUCAGAGCCUUAGCUUGGCACCUGGACAUCUUUGUCCUUCUGUGAUCUUUAAGGAUUUCCUAUUAGAUGGGGUUCACCCAUUCCACCCGCUUCUCAUUCUUUUCUUUUAAACCAGUGUUCCUAUAUUGAUGCCGGGUCCUGUGGGAGUGAAAGGACAUAGAUUCUGUCUGGGAUGGGGAGGUAGAUGGGAAGAAUGAGGCAGGGAGCAGGUCUGGGGAAGUUCAGUGCUGGAUCCGGCUUAUAGGGGAGCUGUCAGCAGCUCAGUACCUAGCAGUACUGGCCAAAUGGCAGCUCAGAGAGGAGGCCCAGAAGACCCAGAGAUUUGGGCUUUUGGAAGAGAAAUCGGGGGGGGGGACUGAGACUGAAAAAGUAGACAAGACUCAGUUACAAAGGCAGCCGGAGGUUCCUUAUAAGGGGCUGCAUUUAAUGCUACCUGCUCCAACGUGCUACAAGGAGGGGGCGAUCGUACUGCGGGACCGGAGCGUGACUGGCAACUAGAAAAACCCCUCCUGACUCGUGCUCUGGUAGCACUAGCCUCCGGGGAUUCUGGAUGUCUCUGGUGCUAUUCCCAGCCUGGAUGGGCAUCAUUUGGCCUGUUAGGGUUUGCCCUACCUUAGGGCUCUUGGGUGUCUGCUUCAAGUCCCAGAGGAGCUCAGCUGCCUGGGAGAUGACAGGCUGUGCUUUCCCAGAUCUAACAAGCUCUCUCUUCAUCAUGUCUUCUCACAUUGGAACCCCUUGUAAGGACACAUUUCAUCCUGGCUCUCGGUCAGCAGCUUCCUGCAGCUGCCCGAGGACCUUAUCGGCUGCUGUCAGAACAAGAGGCAGGACAAGAAUGGGGAGGCCUGUGGAUGGCUAGGUGUGGGUGCUUCAGAAUCAGCCCAUUUCUCCCCUCACAGCCUGUUAGCACCGUUGAGACGUAUCGGACCACAAAACGCACUGUUUGUAAACCCAAUAGAAAAGAGGAGGGGCUGGGAAGGAGGCGCCUGCUGUGGUUUGGCUGCCACAGUCAUGUGUUGGGCGCACUGGUUCCUAGUAUGGUGAUGCAUGUGAAGAGGCGGUGGGGUGCACCUAUAUUUUCAACACUCGGGACAGGGAGGGAGGAAGGUCACAGCAAACCAGAAAAAAAAGUGAGAAGAGAACAUGAACAGAGACUUCCACUAAAGGGGCUUCCGGCUUCUAAACAGCCUGGGGAGGUGGGUUCUCAGGUCCAGCGGUCAAGGCACACAGAGAUCACUACAGCUGUAGGAGAAGGGGACCCACACUGCGUCUUCAGCUGGCCUCAGAACCUGGCAGUGUCAAGGAACAGCUUGUGUUCUCGUGCUAAUUAUGUUGCCCAAAGACAGGCUUGCAGUGUCCUGCACAGAGGCUAAAGGAAGCCUGCCCCCAGUUGGCUCUGAUUGGGAAAUUAAGUUGCCAGUGGCCAAUGGCUGGGCAGGGAGACAGAGAUGGGACUUAGAGGAUUCCUGGGUGUGAAAUGCUGGGGAGAAAGGGAAGUUUACCUUGUGACUGGCCACCACUCCGGGAAGGGGUGUGUGUGUGUGUGUGUGUGUGUGUGUGUGUGUGUGUGUGUGUGUGGUGGGUGGGGGAGAUAGCCGGAAUGUAGGUACAAAGGGGAAAGUGACCCCAGAAGGGCUGCCCAGAGAGUCCGUGGGCAGCAAAGAUAAAAUUUAGAUUUAGUAAGUGUUAACUCAAGAAUAUCGGAGGGGAGUGCGUUAGCCUGGUGGAGGUUCAGGGGUGGCCCAACCAUUGAGCUAGUUAAGGCGUAUUAAAAUAUAAAGGUUUUGUGUGUGUGCGGCAAGCACCCACCAGGAGUUUAGAGAGGUUGCAAAUUAUUACCGCUACAGUGCCAUGCACAUGAGGCUGGUCUUGCAGGCAUGCAAAAAAGCCAAGAGAUAGCACGCCAUAGACGCUGUAUCAAUGUUCCAGAAAGUUGCCGAGGUCGGCUUCCCUGCAAGGAAGUCCCAAGGCACAGUUUCAUGAAGUAGAGUGUAAAGCAUCAGUUGUGGUAGCAUCUCCAGGAUGUUGGAGAUGCCAGGACCGAAGGACUUCUGUGGAGGCAAAAUGGAGGUGGGGGGCGGAGUCAGCCCAAGAGAGAUAGGCUAUGUGUGCUGUCCAAAACAGAACCAGAGGGGUGGAGCUACUCGAUGCCCUCUGUACCCAGAUGGUAACACCUCGAGCUCCAGAUGCUGGACGUAGAACAUCCAGUCUUUUCCCUGCUGGGUAUGUCUUGCAUUGGUUCAAACUUUCCCUGCUAUUCUUCUCAUCUCUCCCUUUUGGAAUGGGAAUAUUUACUUGAUCAAAUGUUGGAAGAAUGCAACUUGCUUAUUAAUUUCAACUUAAUUACUUAGACUUAACAGGAAAAUGGGAUGAACUUCGAAGGAGGAGCCUGGGUGGCAAGGAGUGAGCGUGUCACAGUUACCGGCCGUGUCUGUGAGGUCGUAAGUGAGCAGUGGGAAGAACUGUUCUGAGCGUGGAUGGCAUCAGCCCAUGGUUGGACGGAGAAGAGCCGAGCAGCAUUGGAUCACUUCUCUGUGCUUCUGGACUGCAGGGGCAACACGAGCAGCUGCCUCCUAGGCCUGCUGCCGUUUCUCUGUCGUGAUGGAUGGCACCUUCCAAGUCGGAGCCAAAAUAAACCUUCACUCCCUUAAGUCGUGUCUGUCAGGCAGUUUGCCAUAGUAACAAGAAAAUAAUGAAUGCAGGCUCUCACAAGCUCUCUCUCUCUCUCUCUCUCUCUCUCUCUCUCUCUUUCUCCUGCUUUUUUUUUUUUUUUUGAGGCAGGGUUUCUCUGUGUAGCUCUGGCUGUCCUGAAUCUCAAUCUGUAGACCAGGCUGGUUUCAAGAGCAGAGAUCACCUGCCUCUGCCUCUGCCUCUGCCUCUGCCUCUGCCUCUGCCCCUGCCCCUGCCCCUGCCCCUGCCCCUGCCCCUGCCCCUUCCCCUGCCCCUGCCCCUGCCUCCUCUGCCUCUGCCUCUGCCUCUGCCUCUGCCUCUGCCUCUGCCUCUGCCUCUGCCUCUGCCUCUGCCUCUGCCUCUGCCUCUGCUUCUGGAGUGCUGGGACUAAAGGUGCCUAACCAGACGUGGGAUUCUUUGAAUCAAUAUUGACAUCCAAACCAAGGUGUCUCUUUAGGGUCUUACGCUAAGGGCAAAGAAAUAGGCGAGCCACCCACCAUGCUAUGCUGUCCUUCUGGUAUGUGACUUCUUCCUCUGGGAAUGAGGCUCUCACAGAACAACCCACAGUGACCAUAUCACCAUUCAGAUACUCCCUCAUGAAUAUAGACCAGAGUCAGAGGAGACCAGGAGACGCCAGGGAAUUCAUAUACUCGGCUCAUGAUGGAGGUCCAUGGCUUUUCUCUCCCUUGGUCUUGGCUGAACUCUUCCUUACACCCUUAUGCACAUUUCCCCAUUCUUCCCCUAAAUCCAUCAAGAGGACCCUAGAUCCAUGCUAGCUGCAUCUCAGUUUGUGGGGAGGAUGUGCCAACCUGGUCCUGGCCAGCUCGGAAGCCUGGGCUCCGCUCUACUCCACAGGGAAAGUCAGCACCACUGUUCUGAGAUGUGAGAAUAAGGGCAGGUCUCCAAGAGAUCACAGGCCUCGGGGGCCAGGAAGGAAAUGGAAUCAGAAGUAGCCCGCCAUCACAGAGAACAUGUGACAUGUCUCCUAGUCUCUUUAGGUCUCUGUCAUCUGGAAGUUAACCAGUAGCCAAUCAUCUUUUCACAAGCACCUCCGAGUACCAUCUCUGAAGUAGGGUUAUUCACAGACCCCACGGAGUUGCUAUAACCAAGAGGAAGAGGGGUCUCACAAAUGGUGGGUUCUCUUCUCUCAUCGACUUAAGAAAGAAAAGCCUCUUUGCUUGCUCACAGCCUACAGUGUGAGCCCUCAGCUUCCUUCCUCAGGGCUACCUUGUCAGGAAACCCCAGCCCGCAUGAGAACUGUCUUAGCUUGGUUUCCUGUAGUUGUGGUAAAACAAGCUGGCAAAAGCAACUUAGGGGAGAAUGUUUAGCUCACAAUUCUGGCUGCAGCCAGUCAUUGCUAGAAAGUCACAGCAGCAGGAGCGUGGGAGAACUGGUCACAGGACAGCCACAGUCAAGAACAGGGAGCGAUGGAUGCGUGCACAAUGGAUGCGUCAUCAGUUGGCUCUCUUUUCCGUUCAGUCUAGGGUCCAUCCCAUGAAAUGCCACCUCCCCCACUCAGGGUGGGUUUUUCCCACUUCAAUUAACCCAAUUAACAAAUCCUUCUCAGGCAUAGGCACGAGCCAAUCUAACUUAGAUAACUCCUCGUUGAGACUUCCCAGCUGACACUAGACCGCGCCAAGGUGACAAUUAAAACUAGUUAUCACAGGAGCCUCAGAGGUGACUCUGGGCGUGAUGUUCAAUGGCCCAUCUCCUGAUCCUCAUUGGCCUCCGGCUUUCUCCAUCCCUUCUGGGCUCAGAGAGUUCUUCAAGGGUAGCACAGCUUCAACCUUGCCUCUUCCAGUUCAGGGCUGCAGAACUGACGGGAUUUUCCAGGCUUCCUGCCGAGAUUCAUAAUUGAACCGAGCCAGAGAGAUUUCCCCGACCAAUAGCCGUCUUCUCCCUCAGCACUGGGGAAUGGUGUUCUCUGUGAUUUCUCUUACUUGUAUCUGCUCCGUAACUACUGCUUGGAUGAAAGCUUGGUUGCCAAGGGUUGGGUUUUUUUUUUUCCUUUUCCUCUUUGCUUCUUCUUUCUUUUUAAUGAGGAACAAAUACGGGGCUUGGAGGGGGGCGCAAAAAGCUCUCUGCAGAAUCCAGACUUUCCCGUUGCUUCGCUUCCGCAGAUCUCUAGGAAGUUAUGCCCCAAUAAUCUGAGAGGUUUGACUGGAGGUCCUUCGUGGGGGAGGGGGAGUCAUAGUGGAGCCCUAGGGAGGGGCACCUUCAUCUCUUUCACCUUACACAUUAGGAACCCGAGGCCCGGAGGGGUGAUGGCCAUUUCCAUGGUGACAGGCUAGCUGGUGGACUGGCCAAGCCUGGGCUCUCUAGUUGAUCUCUGGACCUUCAAGGUGACACAAGGGUUUUGCAAGGUCACUGAUCCUGGCGUACAGUAAGCGCGUCAAACACGCUAUGAGCUGCCAUAGCUGGGUGACCAGGGGGCAGCUGUUCUACCAGAGAGCCAAGUUUGCCUGCCUCUUCCCCAGCACGGCCAUGGAGUCCUCCUUGUCCUCAUAUGGUCAUGACAUGGUGACGUUUAAAACGAGCGGCUUGCCUGACUCUUAGGCGGCCCCUCGCGACGACUGUUUUUCCUCUGGCCCUACUGCUAAUGGACUGACAAGAGCAGGCUGCAGCUGAACACUAAACCUUGCAAAGCCCUUUGCUAAGCUCUUCCCAAUUUUCCGUUUAAGCCUUAAAAUUGCCUGAAGAAGCAGGCUAGGGAUAUAGCUUAGUGGUAAAGGGUUUGUUGGCAUGCGCCAAAGCCCUGGGUUCGGUACCUAAUAUGAUACCUCUCCCCUACCCUCCCAAAGAAGUAGGGACUCCUGUAAACCUGUUACACACAAAGCAGGUUCAGAGAGGGCAGGGAAUUUUUUAGCAGAGUGGCAAGGAGCCUCUAGGACCAUAGUUCCGGACCUCUAUGCUAUCCUGAAGAAUUCUGCAGAAGAGGAAGGAGGUAGAAGGGGCAGUGUUGGAAGGACGGACAUAUCUGCCAAGUCACUGGUGCCUUCCAGCAGCCAGGCAAAACUGAGAUAGCUCAGAUCUGCUCUCUGACUACACCUGGGGCCGGGGCAGCAAUUUCAGCCAAACAGAAACCCAAUUCAAACAUGAUUUUCAAUGCCUGCUCCCCACACCUGUGGCCCAGAGUGCCAAGUAAACACGGUUAUCAGCUGGAGCCCUGUUGCCUACCUGUGCUUCGGAGGGGAGCCACCAGCUUCAUAAGCUUGGAUGAGACCUCAGAGCUCUGGGCUCAUCAGCCACACCUGAUGCCCACAUCCUCUGUCCUGGCUUCCUGGAAACCCCAAGUCCUGCCAGUGUCAGUCCACUUGGCUGUUUUCCAGGAAGAGAGUCACUAUUUUUGGCCCUUUCACGGUCCACUCCCUACAGCAGCAGACAAAUGUUUCCUCAUCUUGCCCAGGAUGGAUCCCCCAACACGGAAAAGCAGAUGUCCAUUCACUCAUGAACUUAGCCUUGAAUUCAAGUCAGUAUUUACAUGGCUACAGUUUGUCAUGUACCAGGUGCCUGACUGUGUGUGUGUGUGUACAUGCACGAGUGCCUCAGCUGUUCUAGCCUUGCCUUUAGCUUGGCACUGACUUAGUGACUUGACCAAGCCAAGGCAGCCAUUGGGAGAAACUGACAUCACAGCUGAGCCUCAAGAAGGGUCAGGAAGUCAAAGACCAAGUAGCUGUUCCAGAUACAGGGAACACACGGUAGAGCUCAGGGACAGAGGCCGGUAUGUCUGAGCAGGUAAAAGAUGUCGAUGAACAUAGAAAGGUGUGGAGAGGAGAGAGAGGUGGUCCAGAGGCUUUGUAAACCCUGGGAGCCAUGACAGUUAAUAAACCAGCUUUUGGUCCUCCAGAAUCAGGGACAGAGAAGCAGAGGGAUCAGACAGAAUCCAGAUUCUGAGACAGGUUUUCGUGGAAGCUCGCCUGCUGAUUUGGGACAGAGAGGAUUCCCUGGUAUCUCCCCAGCUCUGUCCACCAUCUAACUACCCAUCCCCCACUUCCAAUACCCUUGGCUUACGGCCACAGUAGCUUUCCUGAUACCUUUUCCAGAGUAUGUCCAUACUCAAGCCUCCAAUGCCCCUCUCUUCCACAGUUUGUCCUCAAGGCCAAUACACCCCAGGCUCCCUCUCGGCAGUGCCAGACCAGGUGUUGCUGUCUGUGGUGCCCUUCCAUAUUCAUUCACCCCCAGUCUCAGCUCCCUCUGCCUCAGCUUCUUCUAGGAAGUUUGGAGCUAAGGCUUGGGGGUUUUGCUUGCCCAAAGAGGAAAAAAGUAUAGAGAAUGUAAAAGCCAGCUUCCCUCCCUCCACACACAGGCACAGCAGGCCUAUGAGCUGCAGGCUUUGGAGGGGCUGGAGGCAGAGAAGACAGGCUGGCUGGAAGCCAGGCUGCAGAGAAACCCCUGGGAACAGAGCAGAACAAUUGCCGUUGUGAGUUAAGCAGGCCAUUUAUGGGGAGGAUAAAAGUUAAUGAGAAGCUGUACUUCAGCCCCCACCAUUAAGCAAGAGCAAACCCUGGCAAAUACAGCACACAAAGGGGUGGAUUUGAAGCAGCAGCCUGCUCAGCAGAGGGCAGUGCCAUGGCGGCCUGCUGGCGUGGGGACGGGGCGGGGCUCCACAUCCAUCACCUGAUUAGGAAGGUGGUCAAGGUUUGGACCUCACUGAUUUCAUCUAAAUUCUCCAGGUGGCUUCUUAAUCUAUUACCCAAUGUCUCCUUUCUAGCAACAGUGGAAGCUGGUUGGGGAAGGAGGUGAGGGCUCGUCACUAAUGCAUCUAGAUCAGCGGUCUCCACAUCAGAUAGUGAUGAAGUAGUAACGAGGAUAAUUUAUGAUUGGAGGUCAUCACAUGAUGGACUGUAUUGAAGGGUCUUAGCAUUAGGAAGGUCGAGAACCACCGAGUUAGUAAAGCUUUGUUCAGUCUCUGUCCCGUUGGUCAGGGCAAACUUAAAGCCUUGGCUGUUCUGACAGUUUGCACUAGUCCAGGCUUCUCGUUACCUUCAGAGCUGAGAAAGAGGCAUGGAACCAAAGCCUGAGGUCGUGUGGGCACCAAGUCUUGCUCCGAUGACACUGGCAACGACAAUACCAGCAUGUGGCAUCUCAUGGGGACGUCACUUCUGACCGUCUUAUUUCUUUUGGACCUUGUUGUGAUCCCCACAUUACAAAAGGAGAAACUGAGGCCUCCCGGAGGUUCACCAGGUGUAGGGCAGUGUUUAGAACAGGAGUGCUCAGACCACACCGCUCUCCCCUCUCUGGUGGCAAAUGCACUCGCCUGCACACAGGUACCUGGUGGUUAAGAGGGUUAACAAUGCCCAGCAUGUAAGACGGGAUGUUCCACGCCAUCUCUCAGGAGUGAGAUUCUGAACCACACGAGGUGCCCAAGAAUCAAGGAGUCUGGGUCUCUUUGGAAAUGUGCUUAUUUCUAAAGAAAAAUAUCACCAUCAUUACUGGUGGUGGUGGUGGUGGUGGUGGUGGUGGUGGUGUGUGUGUGUGUGUGUGUGAUGGAGAGGGUAUAUAUGCGCUCUAGAAUGCAUGUGGAGCUCAGAGAUACUAGUUCUGUAGAAGCUACUUUUAUGAGGGUUCCAGGGGUGGAAUUCAGGUUGCCAGGGGAAAAUCUGCAGGGCCAUCUAGCCAGCCCUGGAGUGUGUGUGUGUGUGUGUGUGUGUGUGUGUGUGUGUGUGCCCGUGUGUGUAGGUAUGUGUGUUUGUGUGGGUAUAUGUGUGUGUGUGUGUUUAUAUGUGUGUGUAGGUAUGUAUGUGUCUUUGCGUGUGUCUGUGUUUGUAUAUGUGUGUAGGUGUGUGUGUGUGCGCGCACACACGCACGUGUGUUUGUUUAUUUGCCUUCCUUGUUUUUCCAUUUCUUUUUCUUUUUGUUUUUUUUGUUUGUUUGCUUUUGUUUUUGUUUUUUUUUUGGUUUUUUUUUUUGUUUUGUUUUUUUUUAGGUCAAAGUUUUAUGUAGUCCAGGUUGGCUGGGAUUUGCUAUAAAGUCAAAAAUAACCACAAACCUCUCUGAUCAUUCUGUCUCCAUCUCUCAGGUUCUGGGAUAACAGGCACACACACACACACACACACAAACACACACACACACACACACAUCUCCCCUAACUCCCAGAGGUGCAUUUCCGGGGGACUCCCCCCUUUGUCUAUCCACCAGCCAUUUUUACAUCCCAGUGUUGCCUCCUUCCUGGUCCUCUCCUGGCCUCACUGCCCUGCCCCAUUUUGGAUCUGCCAGGGUGGUUUGGUGACACGGACUUCAAUGCUGCACUUGACUUCCCAGCUCCUGCAGGAGCAGAUGUGGGUGCCAGGCUUCCUCCUGCUCUCCAGUCCUGCCGUGGACACCACCCUCCAGCCACACUGCUCUAGGCACAGCCCUUGUCAGACACUAAGCUGUUCCCAAGCACAUCCUGUUUGUCUUGACCCCUGCUACCACAUUUUGCAGACUUUCGAAGGUCAUCAGGGAGGGUGUUACACCUUUUCAGAACCCUCCUGGGCUCUAUCCCUUCUCCCUUUUCGUAUAUCCAGCCCUCUGUGUAAUCAAGUUCUGCAUCAAUAGAGUCAGUCAACCGUCGGUCAAAAAUAUUCAGGGGAAAAGUGCAUUUGUACUGAACAUAUACCGUCUCUUACCACAAUUGCCUAAACAAUACAUAUGUAUUAUUACACAUAUAAUACAAAUGCAUUAAAUAAUGCAAAAAUAUAUAGUAUUAGGAAUUAAUUGCAUGCUGAGAGUCACACACGGAGAUGGCUUUGUGCAAGUGAUACGCAAAUGCAUAGCUGUUUUGCAUGAGGAACUUGAGCAUCGUCCUUGACUUUGGUAUCCCUGGUCGGUUGGGGUUUUGGGGGCGGGGAGAAUCCAUCUUUUAUGCACACCUUUAACCAUUGGAGACUCUUGCAUUACAUAUAGUUAAAUUAUGCUUCCACCCCUAAGCCAGAGGCCUUGGUCUGACAUAAUUUGUCUUUGAGUCUCUGUUUGAUGCAUGUUGAUGUGAAGCAGAGGCGGCCUGUGAAGCUGGGGCACCGGUUUUUCCUGAGCCCCGGCUUCUGCGCUCAUGUGCAAAAGAGAGAAGGAAAUGCUCACUCUCCACUCUUCUCCCUUUCUCCCCGCAGUAGCGGAAUAGCCCAGGAACCAGAAUACCAAACCUGGACAGAGAAAGUCACGGAGAGGACAUCAAUGUCUGUGACCAAGAGAUGACAAUGGAAGGAGUGGCUUGUCACUGGCCUUUCUUCUGAGCCCACUGAUCAAUGCUGGAAGACCAAGUAGAUUGUAACAUGAUAAAUACGAUGUUCUGGAGGUGAACCGAAGGAUUCAAUGUGAUCAGAUGAGUAGGUGUGCGUGCGUGCGUGUGCGUGCGUGUGUGUGUGUGUGUGUGUGUGCGCGCGCGCGCAUGCACACACGUGUUCAUGGGUGCACAUGUCUGCUCAAACAUGUUGAGGCUGGAGGUCAACCUUGGGUUUCAUUCCUUAAGAACAUCACUUUGCUUUUGAGAGGCAGUGUCUCUCACUGGGCAAUUAGGCCUGCUGAUUUGGUUAGGCUAAUGGGCCAGUGACACAUAGGCCUGUCUCCAUCUCCCCAGCUCUGGGAUCACAAGCGCAUGCCAUCAUGCCUGGCUUUUAACAUGCUCUGGACACGGAACCCAGGUCCCUAUGCUUCUACACUAAAUACUUAUUUGACCGAGCUAUGCCACCAACCUACAUUUUAACUGAUUUCAACGUCAAAGUGAGAUAACCACCAUUAAGCAGGCUGGAUAGAUCGCUCCAAGAACACAGAAACGCCAGGGAUCUCUCUGCAUCCUGUUUUCGACACGUCUCGCCCCCAGUCCCUGCGGUCUGGCUGUUUGUGGAGUGAUACAGGUCAACCCAAGAUGGCGGCAAACUGCAGGUGGAUCCCAAGACUAAAACCCUGCCGGUCCUUCUGUUCUGCCCCUUUUCAUGCUCCUUUUGCUUGGCUGGAACUCAAAAGCCAGACUCCUCAGGCAUGGCGAGAGGCCACCUUGUGACCGCAACGCUUUCAUUAUUCAUUAAGCCAUCUUCCCUCCUGCUUGAAAUCCGGGUUUAGCCACAUGGUCUACGCAUCUUCAGUUCUCUCGCAGCCCUCCCCGGGUCACGGACAGAAGGCAGCGCUUCAGACAUCAGCUGCAAAAAUGCAGUUUGCCAAGGUGCUGCAAAGCAGGUCAGCGGCCCGGGCGCUGUGGCCGGGAGCCAGCUCCGUGUCCACUGAAGCCUGAAUAUUUUACACCUAGUGACUCUGAGUUACAGGAUUUAAGAGUUUCAGACACCAGAUUAAACUUGAUUUGAAAGUGGCCCUGGAGGACAUUUGUUAAAGAAAAAUAAAGAUGCUAGAUGCUAGAUGGAGUCUAACGUCCUCUGCAUGGUGGCUCGGUCUACGUACAGUCUAAGGCUGUGUGCUUCUGGAAAUGUCCAGGUGCCAGCUCCUGCCUUCUCUACCUUACCUCAGAGAUGUUGGCAACCGGCCCCUCCCCUGACACCUUCUUUUUAGGUGUCUGUGUGUGGCGUGCGUGCAAGUUCUCAUAGGUGGGUACAUGUGUGUGCACAUGCACAUGGAAGCCAGAGGUCGAGACCAAGAGUCUUAAUCGCUCUGUCAUCUAGUUCAUCAAGGCAGGGUCUCUCAGUCAAACCCAGAGCUCACCAAUGAGACUAGCUGGCUAGCUCCAGGGAUUCCGUCUCAGCUGGUAGAGACUGAAAUUACAAACGGGCUGCAUGUCCACCUGGCAUUUGCUUGUGCAACAAGUACUUUUGCCCCUGAGCCAUGUCCCCAAGCAACGGCACUCCGAACUGCCAAGUUUGUACUGUCAAAAUGAUCUGCUGACUUGUACCAAUGGAUCCAAUAAAUCUGGGAGAUGA